rnacentral:rRNA from 1 species
CAGAGAGUGAGAAACGUUCCGGCGCUGUAGGAUGUGGCUGCGGCCGAUUAGGUAGACGGUGGGGUAAUGGCCCACCGUGCCCGUAAUCGGUACAGGUUGUGACAGCAAGAGCCUGGAGACGGUAUCUGAGACAAGAUACCGGGCCCUACGGGGCGCAGCAGGCGCGAAACCUUUACACUGCACGACAGUGCGAUAGGGGGACUCCGAGUGCGAGGGCAUAUAGCCCUCGCUUUUCUGAACCGUAAGGUGGUUCAGGAACAAGUGCUGGGCAAGACCGGUGCCAGCCGCCGCGGUAAUACCGGCAGCACGAGUGAUGGCCGAUAUUAUUGGGCCUAAAGCGUCCGUAGCUUGCUGUGUAAGUCCAUUGGGAAAUCGACGCGCUCAACGCGUCGGCGUCCGGUGGAAACUACACGGCUUGGGGCCGAGAGACUCGACGGGUACGUCCGGGGUAGGAGUGAAAUCCUGUAAUCCUGGACGGACCACCAAUGGGGAAACCACGUCGAGAGACCGGACCCGACAGUGAGGGACGAAAGCCAGGGUCUCGAACCGGAUUAGAUACCCGGGUAGUCCUGGCCGUAAACAAUGCUCGCUAGGUAUGUCACGCGCCAUGAGCACGUGAUGUGCCGUAGUGAAGACGAUAAGCGAGCCGCCUGGGAAGUACGUCCGCAAGGAUGAAACUUAAAGGAAUUGGCGGGGGAGCACAAUCACUAGUGAAUUCGC